rnacentral:rRNA from 1 species
GACGGAAGGUGCAAGCGUUGCUCGGAAUCAUUGGGCGUAAAGGGUGCGUAGGCGGCUUGGUCAGUCUGGUGUGAAAGCCCCGGGCUUAGCCCGGGAAGGGCGCUAGAAACUGCCGAGCUGGAGUGCCGGAGGGGAGAGUGGAAUUCCUGGUGUAGCGGUGAAAUGCGUAGAGAUCAGGAGGAAUACCGGUGGCGAAAGCGACUCUCUGGACGGCAACUGACGCUGAGGCACGAAAGCGUGGGGAGCAAACAGGAUUAGAUACCCCGGUAGUCC